rnacentral:lncRNA from 1 species
AUGUGGCACAGAGGAGUUUUAACUUUACUGUGUAAUUCAUGUAGAUAUGUUGUUCGUAAAUGGCAUGUGCCUUUACUAGGAGUUGAUUGCAAUGCUAACCCAAGACAUAAACAAGUUUUAUCAAAUCCAUCCCCAAGAUCUAGAGGAAUUCCGAAAUAUUUGGAAAAAUAUAUUUUUUAUAAGCAGGCAGUUAGAAACCCUAAAUACAAAUCUCAGUUUAUAACUAUGUAUACAGCUGGUUAGUAAAAAAUAAAAAAAUAGUAGUAGUAGGAGUAGUAGUAGUA